rnacentral:rRNA from 1 species
GACACGGCCCAGACUCCUACGGGAGGCAGCAGUGGGGGAUAUUGCACAAUGGGGGAAACCCUGAUGCAGCGACGCCGCGUGGAGGAAGAAGGUUUUCGGAUUGUAAACUCCUGUCGUUAGGGACGAUAAUGACGGUACCUAACAAGAAAGCACCGGCUAACUACGUGCCAGCAGCCGCGGUAAAACGUAGGGUGCAAGCGUUGUCCGGAAUUACUGGGUGUAAAGGGAGCGCAGGCGGGAAGACAAGUUGGAAGUGAAAACCAUGGGCUCAACCCAUGAAUUGCUUUCAAAACUGUUUUUCUUGAGUAGUGCAGAGGUAGAUGGAAUUCCCGGUGUAGCGGUGGAAUGCGUAGAUAUCGGGAGGAACACCAGUGGCGAAGGCGGUCUACUGGGCACCAACUGACGCUGAGGCUCGAAAGCAUGGGUAGCAAACAGGAUUAGAUACCCUGGUAGUCCAUGCCGUAAACGAUGAUUACUAGGUGUUGGGGGAUUG